CCUACGGGGGGCAGCAGUGGGGAAUAUUGCACAAUGGGGGAAACCCUGAUGCAGCGACGCCGCGUGAAGGAAGAAGUAUUUCGGUAUGUAAACUUCUAUCAGCAGGGAAGAAAAUGACGGUAUCUGACUAAGAAGCCCCGGCUAACUACGUGCCAGCAGCCGCGGUAAUACGUAGGGGGCAAGCGUUAUCCGGAUUUACUGGGUGUAAAGGGAGCGUAGGCGGCGAUGCAAGUCAGAAGUGAAAGCCCGGGGCGCAACUCCGGGACUGCUUUUGAAACUGUGUUGCUAGAUGGCAGGGGAGGUAAGUGGAAUUCCUAGUGUAGCGGUGAAAUGCGUAGAUAUUAGGAGGAACACCAGUGGCGAAGGCGGCUUACUGGACUGUAAAUGACGCUGAGGCUCGAAAGCGUGGGGAGCAAACAGGAUUAGAUACCCCAGUAGUC
rnacentral:rRNA from 1 species